rnacentral:rRNA from 1 species
AAGGAUCAUUACCGAGUGAGGGCCCUCUGGGUCCAACCUCCCACCCGUGUUUAUUUUACCUUGUUGCUUCGGCGGGCCCGCCUUAACUGGCCGCCGGGGGGCUCACGCCCCCGGGCCCGCGCCCGCCGAAGACACCCUCGAACUCUGUCUGAAGAUUGAAGUCUGAGUGAAAAUAUAAAUUAUUUAAAACUUUCAACAACGGAUCUCUUGGUUCCGGCAUCGAUGAAGAACGCAGCGAAAUGCGAUACGUAAUGUGAAUUGCAAAUUCAGUGAAUCAUCGAGUCUUUGAACGCACAUUGCGCCCCCUGGUAUUCCGGGGGGCAUGCCUGUCCGAGCGUCAUUGCUGCCCUCAAGCCCGGCUUGUGUGUUGGGCCCCGUCCUCCGAUCUCCGGGGGACGGGCCCGAAAGGCAGCGGCGGCACCGCGUCCGGUCCUCGAGCGUAUGGGGCUUUGUCACCCGCUCUGUAGGCCCGGCCGGCGCUUGCCGAUCAACCCAAAUUUUUAUCCAGGUUGACCUCGGAUCAGGUAGGGAUACCCGCUGAACUUAA